ACCUCCUCGGAUGGGGUCCUCUGAGAGGAGCAGGGUGCUCGGGGAGGGAUCGGCGGAGGCCGGGUCCGGGCCUCAGAAUUCGGGGUGCGACACAGCCCCAGGCCGACCAGGCCGCGGCGCCCCGCCCUUUCCCGGGACGAGGGCCGGCCCGGGGCGGGGAGCGGGUGGGCGAGCGGGCGCUUACAGGUCGGUGCCGAGACGCGUGAAGCCGGAGUUGAGCGAGGCCCGGGCUAUCCGGCGCCAGAGCAGGUCGCAGUUGGUGAAGCGCCGCAGCCAGCGGCACACCUGAGCCAGGCGGCCGAGGGCCUGCAUGUCCAGACUGUGUCUUCAGGCUUAGGAAAAAGCAGUUACCUCCCAGCAGCAUGAGGAUACAAGAAGCUUCAGUUGCCAGUAGCAAACACAACAUGAUUGUAACAGGUCCCCCUGGCCCUUGGCGCUUAGAAAGGCCAAGAAGCAAUGGAACCCACUUGGAUUCUCUGAGAAACUCCUCAGCUUGACCACUUCUGUCCCAACCCAGGCUCAGCUGCAACGAGUCACAUAGAAAACCUCAAUCUCCCACUUCUCUAGCAAAGAACCUUCUGAAGUCCACCCCCAUCCCCAGACAAGGGGUUUUCAUUCCAAGUUUGAGGAAAUCUGGCCAGUUGGACCUGGAAUCAACGAAGAUGAAGACAGAAUACACCUUUUCCAUUUCAAAGCAGCCUAGUGGGAUCUUGUUUUUUUCCAACAGGGUGACUCCAAACUGGCAGGACUUUCAAAGCUACAAUUUCCAUGUCCCCAGCCCUCACUAAAGAAAAAUGUCCUGGUUAGCUUGGCAUGUGUAGAGGUUUUGGUGUGCAAGUGAGAGACGUUUAACGAAUAGUUAAACCUGAACUAUGAAUCAAAUUAGUCUAAACAAGAUUCUCCCCCAUCCCCAUGCUGUACUAGUUACCCUACUUAAUUCCUACCCUAGACAUAUAUUCAAAAAUAACUACUAUUUAUCAAGUACCCAGUAAGUACCAGGAACUGAACUAAGUGUUUUAUUUACUUAUAUUGACUUAUUUUAUCUUCACAACUAUGCAAGACAGAAAUUUGAUUUAUUGUUUCCUCUGUGAAGAACAGACAGGUUAAGUAAUUUCCCCAAACUCAACACAGUUAAUAAGCAGCAGAACUAGAGUUCAAAUCUCAUCUCCAGCGCGAUAACAUGGAUGAAUCUCAAAAUCAUCAAUGCAGAGUGAAAGAAGCCGGGGGCGGGGACAGGGGAGAGUGUUUACUGUAUGAUUCCAUGCAUAUAAAAUUACAGAAUAUACGAACUAAUCUAUAGUGAUAGAAAAGCACAUCAGUGAGUAUCUGGGAUGGGUGGAGGGAAGGGGCACAAAGAAUGACAAAUCCUUUGUAAUCUUUGAAUUACAAAGGGGCACAAAGAAACUUUGGGGGAUGAUGGAAACUGUUUGUAAUCUUGAUUGUGGUGAUAUUUUCACAGGUGUACACUUUUAUCAAAACUGAUCAAAUUAUACACUUUAAAUAUGUGCAGGUUAGUGUACUUCAAUAAAGUUAGAAAAAAGUACCCCCCAAAACCCCAUUUCUUAAAUUGUUUCCACAAAUGUAUUUACUCUUUGAUAUAAUUGAUAUUAUAGGGCCUAGCCUGACUCUGGUUCAGAUUUUCAUGCUGUUGUCUCUGGGUCCUGCUGGGGUGAGAGGACCUAGCUAUUACUGGCUCUUCUCACAAGAAACUCCAGUUGCCAGGAUUGUGAUUCUAAAAACCUUUUGCUCCACUCACAGUUAGACCUAAUAUAAUGUCAGUGUGAUUCUAGUGAUGAUCUAAAGCAGCAGUUCUCAACCUUUUUGGUCUCAGGACCCUUUGACAUUCUUGAAAAGUGUUGAAGAUCCCAAAGAGCUUUUGCUUAUGUGGGUUAUAUCUACCAAUAUUUACCAUAUUAGAAAUUGAAAUCGAGAACUUCUAUAGAUAGUUAAUUCAUGUUUUAAAUAAUAAACUCAUUACAUAUAACAUAAAUGACAUAUUUUUAUUAAAAAUAACUAUAUUUUCCCAAAAAAUUAGUGAAAGGAGUAGAAUUGUUUUGCAUUUUUGUAAAUCUAUUUAAUUUCUGGCUUCGUAGAAGACAUAAUUCUCAUAUUUGCUUUUUUAUUUAAUCUGUUGCAAUAUCACAUAAUUCUGGAAAAUUCCACCAUAUACUGGUGAGGGAAUAAGAGUGAAAUAGGCAAAUAAAAUCUUAGUAUUAUUAUGAAAAUAAUUUUGACCUUGCGGACCCCUGAAAGAACCUGGAGGACCCACGGGUCCCCAGAGCAUACUUUGAGAAUUGCCCAUCUAAAGUGUUCAAAACCAUAAAGUAUUUAUUCCAGUU